GCGAAAGUGGCGGAAUUGGCAGACGCGCUAGGUUCAGGGUCUAGUGCUCGCAAGGGCAUGGGGGUUCAAGUCCCCCCUUUCGCA
rnacentral:tRNA from 2 species